rnacentral:misc_RNA from 1 species
GUACAGAUUAAUUGAAAUCAAGGAAAAUCAUCUCUUUCUACAACAAUGCUGACUAACAAAAUUACAAGAACUCUAGUUUAUUUGAUAAAAAAGCACUUCUUAUUUGAUAUGCUUGCUUAUGCAAAUCAACCUGGAAAAAACAUAUGACAAUCAUUGAAAAGGAGUUGCCGAGAAAUGAAAAGUUGAGCUAUCCUACAGAGAUUUACUUUAGAAGUAAGAUGAGUUUCUUCAAAAUAUGCAAUCUUCAGGCAAGCAAGCAAGCCUUGCAAGAGUCCUAAAGAAUUAAGAUCUAUUUGUGGGGAACAAUUUUCUGUUUUCCAUUAAGUUUUCAUUGUUUAUGGAAAACAAGGGAAAACAAAGAAAACCUAUUAAAAGAAAACAAUUUUCUAAUCCAAGAAAAUAAAAAAU